UCCCGGAUGUUAGCGGCGGACGGGUGAGUAACACGUGGGUAACCUGCCUGUAAGACUGGGAUAACUCCGGGAAACCGGAGCUAAUACCGGAUAGUUCCUUGAACCGCAUGGUUCAAGGAUGAAAGACGGUUUCGGCUGUCACUUACAGAUGGACCCGCGGCGCAUUAGCUAGUUGGUGAGGUAACGGCUCACCAAGGCGACGAUGCGUAGCCGACCUGAGAGGGUGAUCGGCCACACUGGGACUGAGACACGGCCCAGACUCCUACGGGAGGCAGCAGUAGGGAAUCUUCCGCAAUGGACGAAAGUCUGACGGAGCAACGCCGCGUGAGUGAUGAAGGUUUUCGGAUCGUAAAGCUCUGUUGUUAGGGAAGAACAAGUGCAAGAGUAACUGCUUGCACCUUGACGGUACCUAACCAGAAAGCCACGGCUAACUACGUGCCAGCAGCCGCGGUAAUACGUAGGUGGCAAGCGUUGUCCGGAAUUAUUGGGCGUAAAGGGCUCGCAGGCGGUUUCUUAAGUCUGAUGUGAAAGCCCCCGGCUCAACCGGGGAGGGUCAUUGGAAACUGGGAAACUUGAGUGCAGAAGAGGAGAGUGGAAUUCCACGUGUAGCGGUGAAAUGCGUAGAGAUGUGGAGGAACACCAGUGGCGAAGGCGACUCUCUGGUCUGUAACUGACGCUGAGGAGCGAAAGCGUGGGGAGCGAACAGGAUUAGAUACCCUGGUAGUCCACGCCGUAAACGAUGAGUGCUAAGUGUUAGGGGGU
rnacentral:rRNA from 1 species